AUGCCCAGUGUCACUGGCACCAAAAGAAAGAGCUGGGCUCAAAAGCAAAGGAAAGCCUCAUUCUUACAGCCAAGAACAGAGAGAUGCGUGCUUGGGCUGCAGACCACGCGCUCCGGGGCUGGCUGCCCACGAAGUUGCUUCAGCGCGAUCUCGUUACUGCGUAGGCGUGGAGGCGGAGUUCUCGCGAGGGCGCCGCCCGGCAGCCGGGGGCUGGAGGCCGCAGUGCCGCGCAGCCUCUGUGCACACGGCGGCCGCCGCCAUCUUGAGUUGAGUGUCGUGAGCCGCCUCUCUGCACACGCCCCGCAGCCAAGGGCGGACACCACCACCUCGCGCUGGGACCUCCCGUCUGCGAAGGGCGGUGCGAGGCCCCUGCACGCGGCAGCCCCUGAGCCAGUGACACCAGAGGAGGCGUGGAGGAAAAGGAAACCAAAAAGAUGAUCUUACCAGCAAAGGAGGUCCGGAUCCAGGGAACACGAGGACAUCAAAUUCAAAGCCGUGUUGAACCUCAGCUGUGACUCCCAGGAUCGGCCACUCGAUUAUCUGGGUACAGUAUUCAUGAAUUUCUACCUGCCACCGUCUGCCCUGAGUUAAACCCUGGUGAUCCAGUUGGCCAGUCUUCUCCGAUCCUUAUAACCCAGGGUUUCUCCACCUCGGAAUUACUAAAACAGGGUGCCAGAUAAUUAGUUGUCGUGGGGGCUGCCCUAGGCAUUAGAGGAUGUUUAGCAGCAUCCCUGAUCUCUUUUUGUUGUUGUUGUUUGCGGGGGUUGUUUGUUUAUUUUUGCUUUUCAGGGCCACACCCGCGGCAUAUGGAAGUUGCCAGGCUAGGGGUGGAAUCAGAGCUGUAUCUGCCAGCCUACACCACAGCCACAGCAAUGCCAGAUCCAAACCGCGUCUGUGACCCAAACCACAGCUCGCCGCAAUGCCGGCUCCCCGACCUACUGAGCGAGGCCAGGGAUCAAACCCGCAUUCUCACGGAUACUAGUCGGACUCGUUUCUGCUGCACCACAAUAGGAGCUCCUUGCUGCCAGCAGCACAUCCCUCCCCACCAGCUCUGACAACCAAAGUGCCUCCAGCCAUUGCUAAAUGUGCCCUGGGCAGGGGGCAAAAUUGCUCUCUGUUGGAAACCACUGUUCUCCCUCUGGCUAAACAUUAGAGUUACCCUUGAUGCCAUCCCAGUGAAAUCAGAAUCUUUGGGACAGAAGCCAGGGGCCAGCACUGGAAAAGCUGCACAGGGGUCCUAAAGCUCAGCCUGGGUUGAGGACUUCCAUCCUAAAGCAACCUGUCUCAGACUGCUACGGAGCUUCUUACAGUCCUUCCUCAAAUGUUUUUAUAACCAAGCCCUCCACUUGGCAACACGUGAGCAACUACUACGUAGAAACAAUAUUAGCUAUAAUGUCAAGUACCGUCUCCUGGAAUUUGCAAUUUAAUGAGGUCAUGAGAGUGCGAGGGAAAUAAAUUGUUUUUCGUGCGUGGGUACAUAUGGAAAAAUACCUAGAAAGGAGAUAUAAAAGGAAUAAAAGAAAUGAGUGCUGCUCUGUGAAUGGAGGGCAGGGGGAGUUAAUAGCCAGAUGGACCCGGAAAGCUCCUCAGGGGCGAAUAUGCCCAAGACCUCUGAGAGGACAGGAGAGGCAUAGGGCAUUUUGAUGCUUCGAAGAUGCUGGUAUGUUUUUAAAUGUAGGGAGUUACAAAAAUUACAGUAUGCGCUUACCACUUACCUUUUUUUAAAUAACAGCUUUAUUAUAAUUCACACACCAUAAAAUUCACCAUUUCAGAGUAUACAAUCCAGUGGUUUUUAGUAUAUUCACAGAGUCGUGCAGUCAUCACCACUAUCAAAUUUCAGAAUAUCUUUAUCAGCCCAAAAAGAAACACCGUGCCAGGAGUUCCCACCGUGGCUCAUCAGUAACAAACCCCACAAGUGUCCUUGAGGACACAGGUUCAAUCCCUGGCCUUGUUCAGUUGGUUAAGGAUCCGGCAUUGCCGAGAGCUGUGAUAUAGGUUCCAGACUUGGCUUGGAUCCUGCAUGGCUGUAGUGUAGACCAGCAGCUAUAGCUUCAAUUAGACCCCUAACCUGGGAAUUUCCACAUGCCAUAGAUGAAGCCCUAAAAAGCAAAAAAAAAAAAAAGGAAACCCCUUACCCAUUAGUAGCCAGCCCUUGACUCACUACAACCCCCCAGGCCCUGGUAACUAAUAAUCUACUUCUCUGUCUCUAUAGAUUUACCUAUUCUGGACGUUUCCUAUCAGCAGAAUCAUGUGAUAUAUGGGCAUUUGUGUCUAGCUCCCUAGAUAGCAUCUGAAAGGAAAACAAAGGAAAAUGAGAGAGAAAACAAAACUUUUCCCCCAGGAGGCAGUGUAACCCAUAGAGCCCAGGAGAGAGACUUUGAUCUUGAGCAGACACCGUUGGUUGACCACCCAGAAGCGCUCCCAGCACCCUUCUCAGUGCUCAACUCUUACCAAAGAGACUAGAAAGGCCAAAGAGGCAUUAGCCCAAGCCCUCCAAGUUUGCUAAAAGAGAAAAUGGAAAGUCUCAGACAGCUCCUAGGAUGGGUAUUUCCUUCUUUGGUUAGAGAGACAUGUGCUGGAAGAAAGCACCACGUCAUUUGUCCUCCACCCCUUUCUUCCUCUGAAGAGCGUGUGCAGGCAGGAAGCUUGGACACAUGGCUGCCAUACUGAGACCAUUUGGGAAAGGCCACGAUCACAGAAAUGCCAGCCCAGAUUCUGAUGCUGCUGAGCUACAGAACCAAUACCAGAAACUGCCUUCUCAUUGGUUGGUGAAGCCUGAAAAAUAAGCACUUACAUGUCUAAGCUCCUUCUACUUGGGUUUCAGUUACUAGAAGCAUCACGUAUCCCUGAGCCAGAAAGUUAUUUCAUGUACAAGUUCACACAUAGAACUUGUGUUGGUGGGCAGAGCUCCCUCACCGAUGACCCAAGAACCCCUACCAUUUGUUGAACGUAAGGAACAGUUUUCCUUUGAGAGCACCCCUUCCCUUUGGGGAAGCUCUUGGGACCUGUGUCCUAUUCUCCUUUUGCUAAGAUAUGAGUAUAUUAAUCAACCUAUGCUUAUCAGAAACCCUGAAAUUUGAUUAUUGAAAUGGAAAAUUUAUUGGAAUUCAUUCCUUCUGUUCUUCCACCACAGGACUGUUCCUGCAUCUAUUUGUACAUGCAUCUUCCAUCCCAUUCCAAAAAAAAUAUUAUCGAGCACCUAAUGUGUGCCAGUGUGAAGACACGGAAUUGAAGAAAAUGGACAAAUUCAAGUAGCUUUUAUUCUAAGGGAGGGAAUUAGGCUAUAAACCUAUCAGUGUCUUGCAUAACACCAGGUGGUGAUGAGGGUGUGAAGAAAAAUGAAGUAGGAUGCUUGGGGCUGGACUGUGAGAGGGUUGGGGGAAAGGCAGCUUCUAUUUGAGGGAUGAUCAGAGAAGGCCUUUCUAGGGAGACCAUGUUUGAGCAGAGAAGCUCCGGCGAAAGUGUUCCAGGCAGAAAGUAGAGCAAGUGCAAAAGCCCUGAGGCAGGAAUGAGCUUGGUGGGCCUGAGGGACAGUGAGAGGAAGUCCGUAUUCCUGGAGCAGAAUGGAAGGAAGUGAUGACUGAUGAGAAGGCUGGAAAAGUGGUAGGAGUUGGAUCAAAUCAGAUCCAGCUGCUUACCAAGACAUGAGGAAACUAUUGUUUUUUUAUUUGUUUGGUUGGUUGGUUGGGGUUUGGUUGGUUGGUUUGUUUGUUGGAGCAUAUGGAGCUCCCGGUCCAGGGAUCAGAUCCAAGCCAUAGUUGCGACCUACCCCACAGCUGUGGCAGUGGGGGAUCCUUAACCCACUGUGCCAGUCCAGGGAUUGAACCUGCGUCCUAGUGCUUCCAAGAUGCUGCUGAUCCAGUUGCUCCACAGUGUGAACUCCAGAAAAGUGUUCUAACAUAAUCUCUCUGGCUGCUGAUGGAGUGUAGUCUGAGGAGGAAGACAGACCGGCAAGGAGCUGAUGGCAGGGUUUCAGGUAAGGACUGAUGCUGCCUGGAGCCAGGACUGUAACUGUGGGGAGUAGGGAAGUCAUCAGAGUCCACAUGGAUUUAGAAGGUCCAUCUGGUAACCAGGUUUACUGAAGGAGAGAAACAGCGUCAGCAAUUCCAGCAUGCUGGCCUGAGGAACAUGUGCUGAG
rnacentral:lncRNA from 9 species